UGCAGUCGAGCGCUGAUUUGAAGGUAGCAAUAUUUUCAAGUCGGAGCGGCGCAGGGUGCGUAACACGUGGGAAUCUGCCUUGAAGUGUGGGAUAACUCGUCGAAAGACGAGCUAAUACCGCAUGUGAUCGUGAGAUCAAAGUUGGGGAUCGUAAGACCUGACGCUUCAAGAUGAGCCCGCGGCCUAUCAGCUAGUUGGUGAGGUAAAAGCUCACCAAGGCUAAGACGGGUAGCUGGUCUGAGAGGACGACCAGCCACACUGGAACUGAGACACGGUCCAGACACCUACGGGUGGCAGCAGUCGAGAAUUUUUCUCAAUGGGCGAAAGCCUGAAGGAGCGACGCCGCGUGGGGGAUGAAUGGCUUCGGCCCGUAAACCCCUGUCAUUUGCGAACAAAUUGACUCACCUAACACGUGUGUCAUUGAUUGUAGCGGAGGAGGAAGGGACGGCUAACUCUGUGCCAGCAGCCGCGGUAAUACAGAGGUCCCAAGCGUUGUUCGGAUUCACUGGGCGUAAAGGGUGCGUAGGCGGUUGGGUAAGUCUGACGUGAAAUCUCCGGGCCUAACCCGGAAACUGCGUUGGAUACUAUCCGGCUAGAGGAAUGGAGGGGAGACUGGAAUACUUGGUGUAGCAGUGAAAUGCGUAGAUAUCAAGUGGAACACCAGUGGCGAAGGCGAGUCUCUGGACAUUUCCUGACGCUGAGGCACGAAAGCCAGGGGAGCAAACGGGAUUAGAUACCCCGGUAGUCCU
rnacentral:rRNA from 1 species